rnacentral:rRNA from 1 species
GAAAUCUCCACGCUUAACGUGGAGCGUGCGGUCGAUACGGGCAGACUUGAGUUCGGUAGGGGAGACUGGAAUUCCUGGUGUAGCGGUGAAAUGCGCAGAUAUCAGGAGGAACACCGGUGGCGAAGGCGGGUCUCUGGGCCGAUACUGACGCUGAGGAGCGAAAGCGUGGGGAGCGAACAGGAUUAGAUACCCUGGUAGUCCACGCUGUAAACGUUGGGCGCUAGGUGUGGGCGACAUCCACGUUGUCCGUGCCGUAGCUAACGCAUUAAGCGCCCCGCCUGGGGAGUACGGCCGCAAGGCUAAAACUCAAAGGAAUUGACGGGGGCCCGCACAAGCGGCGGAGCAUGUGGAUUAAUUCGAUGCAACGCGAAGAACCUUACCUGGGCUUGACAUGCGCCAGACAUCCCCAGAGAUGGGGCUUCCCUUGUGGUUGGUGUACAGGUG